rnacentral:rRNA from 1 species
GUAGGUGGCAAGCGUUGUCCGGAAUUAUUGGGCGUAAAGCGCGCGCAGGCGGUUCUUUAAGUCUGAUGUGAAAGCCCACGGCUCAACCGUGGAGGGUCAUUGGAAACUGGAGAACUUGAGUACAGAAGAGGAAAGCGGAAUUCCACGUGUAGCGGUGAAAUGCGUAGAGAUGUGGAGGAACACCAGUGGCAAAGGCGGCUUUCUGGUCUGUAACUGACGCUGAGGCGCGAAAGCGUGGGGAGCAAACAGGGAUUAGAUACCCUGGUAGUCCACGCCGUAAACGAUGAGUGCUAAGUGUUAGGGGGUUUCCGCCCCCUUAGUGCUGCAGCUAACGCAUUAAGCACUCCGCCUGGGGAGUACGGCCGCAAGGCUG